AUUGUGGCUCAGUGGCAGAGCGCUCGCCUCACACGUGUGAGGCCCUGGGUUCGAUCCUCAGCACCAUA
rnacentral:tRNA from 1 species